rnacentral:rRNA from 1 species
AAGAGCGUAGCAAAUUGCGAUAAUUAGUGCGAAUUGCAGACUUUGUGAAUCAUCGAGUUCUUGAACGCACCUUGCACCUAGUGGUUUAUUCUACUAGGUACGGUUGUUUCAGU